rnacentral:rRNA from 1 species
CGGGGUGCACCAGGCGCGAAAACUUUACAAUGCUGGCAACAGCGAUAAGGGGACCUCGAGUGCCAGGAUACAAUCUUGGCUGUCGCGAUGCCUAAAAAGCAUUGCAUAGCAAGGGCCGGGCAAGACCGGUGCCAGCCGCCGCGGUAACACCGGCGGCUCGAGUGGUAACCGCUAUUAUUGGGUCUAAAGGGUCUGUAGCCGGCCGGAUAAGUCUUUUGGGAAAUCCAGCUGCUCAACAGUUGGGCUUUCAGAAGAUACUGUUCGGCUCGAGACCGGGAGAGGUGAGAGGUACUUCAGGGGUAGGGGUGAAAUCUUGUAAUCCUUGAAGGACCACCAGUGGCGAAGGCGUCUCACCAGAACGGAUCUGACGGCAAGGGACGAAAGCUAGGGGCACGAACCGGAUUAGAUACCCGGGUAGUCCUAGCCGUAAACGAUACUCGCUAGGUGUCAGCCACGGUGCGACCGUGGUUGGUGCCGUAGGGAAGCCGUGAAGCGAGCCACCUGGGAAGUACGGCCGCAAGGCUGAAACUUAAAGGAAUUGGCGGGGAGCAC